UAUGUAACUCAUUUGGAAUGAUAGACAGGAUAUAGACUACACAGGACAGGACACCUGAUAGACAGGAUAUAGGCUACACAGGACAGGACACCAGAUAGACAGGAUAUAGGCUACACAGAACAGGACACCUGAUAGACAGGAUAUAGGCUACACAGGACACCUGAUAGACAGGAUAUAGGCUACACAGGACACCUGAUAGACAGGAUAUAGGCUACACAGGACACCUGAUAGACAGGAUAUAGGCUACACAGGACACCUGAUAGACAGGAUAAAAUGUCGGAAAACAUGUAAUAAUGGCAGGAUGUGAUGUGAAAAAGGGAGAAGUAAAUUGAAAACAAGACUAAAAGAAAAUAUAUACCAGCUCAUGUGUGGUGUGAAAGAGGUAUUCUGCUGUAUAUAUUGAAACACACUUAUAUAACCAACAACAAUGUACCACUGUUGGCUACGUGUGCAAAAAGACAGUUUCAUCAGAGAUGGAAAGAAAUGUUGACUGAAUCUUCGGGUUUAUUCGGCUUGUUUUAUAACAUUUUAAAACAUUUCAACAGACCUACAGUUCUAAAGUUAUUAAUUCACAAUAGAGGUGAUUAAUGCAUCUGGAGGUGAUUCUAAAAUGAGUCGAAUUCCAAAUAGUUGUCUCAGUCUUCUGUGAUUCAGUCGUCCUGCUUCUGUCCCAUUCACAACCUUCAGUCACAUUACCACCCCCGCUACUACAACCCGGGCCUCAAACCCAGACCCAUCGACCCCGGCACCCUUAACCAAUCAUAUGCCCCAGAUGGAGGGGAUUCCAUACAGCCAGUCACUGGGGGCUCAGGGAUUGGUCAGGACUGGCAGUAACAGAAUAGCAGAGCAGAUGAUGGGAUUGUCAUACCUGUCCGACGCACCUUCCACAGAGACUACCGGCCAACACAGUCUCCUACUGCAACAGGUAUGUGGAUACUCCGCUAUGUUUCUGUUUUCAUCAGAAUGCACAUGUUGCAGUUAGUUCAAUGUUGAAAAUCUUUCUAUUUUCUUGCAUCCCAUUUUCUCCUUCUUAAAGUGAAUGUUAUUUCCUCCCUCCAAACCCUUACAUCCCAACUCCCUCUCCUACAGAACUUUUCUCCCUUCCUCCCGGCCCCCACCCCUGCGAAGCCAAGUACACCAAGUACGUAUUGACUGCGGCGGGAGAGGAACAACAUUGCUAUGAGGAAGAGCCGAGACAAGGCCAGUUGGCACAUACAGCUCACCCACCAAAGGGCUCUGCAGCUGCAAGAGGAGAACCACCGGCUGCAGAUACUCAUAGGGAAAAUCACCCAGCUAUUGGACACAUUGGACCAGCAAUCAAACACAUCUUGUCACAGAGUCACCUACGGCCCAGGGAAUCUUCACACGGUCCUUUGCUGUUGUUCUGGGAUUGAUUUGCACUUUUCGCACCAAAGUACGGUCAUCUCCAAGAGCCCGAACGCGUCCUCUGCCUGAGCGGUAUGACGACUGCGUGGUCCCAUGGUGUUUAUACUUGGUACUAUUGUUUGUACAGAUGAACGUGGUACCUUCAGGCGUUUAGAAAUUGCUCCCAAGGAUGAACCAGACUUGUGGAGGUCUACAAUUGUUUUUCUGAGGUCUUGGCUGAUUUCUUUUGAUUUUUCCCAUGAUGUCAAGCAAAGAGGCACUGAGUUUGAAGGUAGGCCUUGAAAUACAUCCACAGGUACACCUCCAAUUGACUAAAAUGAUGUCAAUUAACCUAUCAGAAACUUCUAAAGCCAUGACAUAAUUUUCUGGAAUUUUCCAAGCUGUUUAAAGGCAGAGUCAACUUAGUAUAUGUACACUUCUGACUCACUGGAAUUGUGAUUCAGUGAAUUAUAAUGAAAUAAUCUGUCUGUAAACAAUUGUUGGAAAAAUUACUUGUUAUGCACAAAGUAGAUGUCCUAACUGACUUGCCAAAACUAUAGUUUGUUUACAAGACAUUUGUGGAGUGGUGGAAAAAUGAGUUUUAAAUGACUCCAACCUAAGUGUAUGUAAACUUCUGACUUCAACUGUACCUGCUUCCAUCUGGAAGUAUUCCAAGUGUUGACAUAUCUAAUCCUAAAGUCAACAAAGGUUGUGAAUCAAAGAACAAAACAUUCCAAGAUACAGUAGGAUAUCUUUGUGUUGUCUAUGGUUAAAUGUGACACAGAUUUCAGUACACUAUCUAACUACACUGUUUUCCUUUGGAAAUGACAUGGCACGAAUGAUUGACGAAUCUGAUUACCCAAUACUUUAUAUGGUAUCAAAAAGAUUCCCUGAAAUAAGCACCACUACUGUUGUCACAAAUAUUGUUGAAAGGAAAGAAAUGACCAGUUCCAUAAAUACCACAAUAUUAUUUAGUAGAUAUCUGGCAAAAGUUAAGUAAUUGUGCAAUUACAUUUCUUUGAAAUAAGUAUUUUGAUGGCUAUUUCUCAACAUUCUGUGUUAUGAUUUUUUAAAAUAUUUUUUUUACUAACACAACAUUUACAUACUGUGCAUUCAUAAAGUAUUCAGACCUUUUGACUUUUUUCACAUUCUGUUACAUUACACAAUAUUCUAAAAUAGAUUAAUUCGUUUUUUUCCCCCUCAUCAAUCUACACACAAUACCCCAUAAUGACAUCACAAUACCCCAUAAUGACAUCACAAUACCCCAUAAUGACAUCACAAUACCCCAUAAUGACAUCACAAUACCCCAUAAUGACAUCACAAUACCCCAUAAUGACAAAGCAAAAACAGGUUUGUAGAAUUUUUUUGCAAAAUGUAUUAAAUAAUAAACAUCGCAUUUACAUUUA